CCUAGGGAGAGAAUGACCCAGGAGCUCCUUCCAACCUUACAGCAAGUGUGUUUUCAGUGUGGUUCAUUCAGCACCCUUGGUGUAUAUGAGGGAUGUAAAGAAGUGGAAUGACUUUGAAAAUCUGUUGAUUCAGGAGGAAGAUGAUCUGUUACCCACUUCAUUUUCAUGAAUGCUUUGUUUAGGAAGGCACUGUAGACUUCACAGAAUAAAAUAUAUUUCAGUGGCAGUAGGUGGAUUGGGGCUUAUGAAGUGAAGAAAACAUGUGGGCGAGCUGGGUAGCCAUGUGAAAUGUAUAUGUUUGAUAAAGAGACUGGAAGAAAAAGAAAGAAUAGCACUAGAAAAACAAGGGGAAGCUGGAGCAAAAGAAAAAAAUAUAUUUU
rnacentral:lncRNA from 1 species